UACGGAGGGUGCAAACGUUGCUCGGAAUCAUUGGGCGUAAAGCGCACGUAGGCGGUCCAGAAGGUCGGGUGUGAAAGCCCUCGGCUCAACCGAGGAAGUGCAUUCGAAACCACUGAACUUGAGUAUGGAAGAGGGUCGCGGAAUUCCCGGUGUAGAGGUGAAAUUCGUAGAUAUCAGGAGGAACACCGGUGGUGUAAACGGCUUUCUGGACCGUAACUGACGCUGAGGCACGAAAGCGUGGGUAGCAAACAGG
rnacentral:rRNA from 1 species